UCAGUACCAGAUCCGGCACCUGAUCCAGUUCCAGAUCCAGUUUCCGAUCCAGUACCAGAUCUAGCAUCUGAUCCAGUAUCUGAUCCAGCACUUGGCCCUGUACCAGAUUCUGUUCCUGAGUACCUUGACCAUCUUCCGCUGCGGGAUCGAGGUAUGGUAAACAUAAUAUAGUUAUGUUAUUUAUUUAUACCUGUUAUAAAUAAAUAGAUAAAAUUUUAAAACUGAUUUUCUGACCUGGCAUCCGAUUUUAUCGGAUUUUGCGGGAUAUUUUUCCUUCA
rnacentral:lncRNA from 1 species